rnacentral:rRNA from 1 species
CCUACGGGAGGCAGCAGUAGGGAAUAUUGCUCAAUGGGGGAAACCCUGAAGCAGCAACGCCGCGUGGGGGAUGAAGGUUUUCGGAUUGUAAACUCCUUUUGUUAGAGGAGAUAAUGACGGUAUCUAACGAAUAAGCACCGGCUAACUCCGUGCCAGCAGCCGGGGUAAUACGGAGGGUGCAAGCGUUACUCGGAAUCACUGGGCGUAAAGAGGGCGUAGGGGGGAUAGCAAGUCCGAUGUGAAAUCCUAUAGCUUAACCAUAGAACUGCAGUUGAAACUGGUAUUCUAGAGUAUGCGAGAGGUAGGCGGAAUGCUUGGUGGAGGGGUAAAAUCCGUAGAGAUCAAGAGGAAUACUCAUUGCGAAGGCGACCUGCUAGAACCUAACUGACGCUGAUGCGCGAAAGUGUGGGGAGCAAACAGGAUUAGAUACCCGAGUAGUC